rnacentral:rRNA from 1 species
AUUGAACGCUGGCGGCAGGCCUAACACAUGCAAGUCGAACGAGUGGCGGACGGGUGCGUAAUGUCUGGGAAACUGCCUGCUGGAGGGGGAUAACUACUGGAAACGGUAGCUAAUACCGCCUACCAUCGGAUGUGCACAGAUUGGAUUAGCUAGUAGGUGGGGUAAAGGCUCACCUAGGCGACGAUCCCUAGCUGGUCUGAGAGGAUGACCAGCCAGACUGGAACUGAGACACGGUACAUACUCAGACGGGAGUCAGAAGUGGGGAAUAUUGCACAAUGGGCGCAAGCCUGAUGCAGCCAUGCCGCGUGUAUUAAGAAGGCCUUCGGGUUGUAAAGUACUUUCAGCGGGGAGGAGUUACCCGCAGAAGAAGCACAGGCUAACUCCGUGCCAGCAGCCGCGGUAAUAC